GUAGAGUAUGGUUUAGUAGUGAUUAGCAUAGAGGUUUAUAGUUUAGUAGUGAUUAGCAUAGAGGUUUGUAGUUUAGUAGUGAUUAGCAUAGAGGUUUGUAGUUUAGUAGUGAUUAGCAUAGAGGUUUGUAGUUUAGUAGUGAUUAGCAUAGAGGUUUGUAGUUUAGUAGUGAUUAGCAUAGAGGUUUGUAGUUUAGUAGUGUAUGGUUUAGUAGUGAUUAGCAUAGAGGUUUGUAGUUUAGUAGUGAUUAGCAUAGAGAUUUGUAGUUUAGUAGUGAUUAGCAUAGAGGUUUGUAGUUUAGUAGUGAUUAGCAUAGAGGUUUGUAGUUUAGUAGUGAUUAGCAUAGAGGUUUGUAGUUUAGUAGUGAUUAGCAUAGAGGUUUGUAGUUUAGUAGUGAUUAGCAUAGAGAUUUGUAGUUUAGUAGUGAUUAGCAUAGAGGUUUGUAGUUUAGUAGUGAUUAGCAUAGAGAUUUGUAGUUUAGUAGUGAUUAGCAUAGAGGUUUGUAGUUUAGUAGUGAUUAGCAUAGAGGUUUGUAGUUUAGUAGUGAUUAGCAUAGAGGUUUGUAGUUUAGUAGUGAUUAGCAUAGAGGUUUGUAGUUUAGUAGUGAUUAGCAUAGAGGUUUGUAGUUUAGUAGUGAUUAGCAUAGAGAUUUGUAGUUUAGUAGUGAUUAGCAUAGAGAU